rnacentral:rRNA from 1 species
GACGAACGCUGGCGGCGUGCUUAACACAUGCAAGUCGAACGGUAAGGCCCUUCGGGGUACACGAGUGGCGAACGGGUGAGUAACACGUGGGUGAUCUGCCCUGCACUUCGGGAUAAGCCUGGGAAACUGGGUCUAAUACCGGAUAGGACCACUGCCUGCAUGGGUGGCGGUGGAAAGCUUUUGCGGUGUGGGAUGGGCCCGCGGCCUAGCAGCUUGUUGGUGGGGUGAUGGCCUACCAAGGCGACGACGGGUAGCCGGCCUGGGAGGGUGACCGGCCACACUGGGACUGAGAUACGGCCCAGACUCCUACGGGAGGCAGCAGUGGGGAAUAUUGCACAAUGGGCGCAAGCCUGAUGCAGCGACGCCGCGUGAGGGAUGACGGCCUUCGGGUUGUAAACCUCUUUCAGCACCGACGAAGCGCAAGUGACGGUAGGUGCAGAAGAAGGACCGGCCAACUACGUGCCAGCAGCCGCCGUAA